UCUCCACCCACUCCCAGCCAGGAAUUUGACAGUGGCAUCAGGAAUACACAAAAGGAAUCACUGCAGCUUUACCGUGGAACCUGGCAAAAAGUGCAGAAAAGCCCUGGAAGAAAAAGGGACAUUUCUCACAUUUAGUGAAAGAAUCAUCACC